rnacentral:misc_RNA from 1 species
UGGGCUCCGUCUCUGGAGCUAUUUAUGUCACGGAUUUCUAGAAUGUGGUCCUUUGGAUACAUAUCUUGUUUGAAAAUGAUCCAUACUCGACAACUCAUGAGAGAUCAUAGCGGGACGGAAGUAGGUGAAGGGGGAGCAGACCAAGCUGAAGGCAAAAUGGGAGAUUCGGCGUCUCUGUUACAGCGACUGUUUUCUGCUGUUUUCUACGGAGUCGCUUCCUUUCUCAUCAUCGUUGUAAACAAGAUAAUCCUGACAACGUUCAGAUUCCCUUCAUUCCAGGCACUAGCUAUUGGACAGAUGAUGACUGGGAUUGUCGUGUUGUUCAUUUCAAAGAGGCUGGGGCUGAUUCAUUAUCCAGGCCUAUCAAAAGAUACUGCGUUAAAGGUGUGGCCGCUGCCUCUCAUCUAUGUGCUGAAUCUCCUCACAGGACUUGGGGGUACACAGCGGUUAAAUUUACCCAUGUUCACAGUACUAAGAAGAUUUUCCAUAUUAUUCACAAUGAUUGGAGAAUAUCUGAUGUUAGGAUACAAGGUUGCAUUGACAACGAAAUUGACAGUGUUGCUGAUGAUACUUGGAGCUGUUAUAGCAGGAAGCACUGACCUGGCCUUUGACCUGACAGGCUAUGUGAUGAUUCUACUCAAUGAUGUCUUUACAGCUUCCUAUAAUAUAUAUGUGAAGAAAAAGCUGGAUUCAAAGGAACUGGGUAAAUAUGGAGUGCUCUUCUACAACUCGCUCUUCAUGAUUUUACCUGCAUUGUUGUUAGCUCAGUAUAAUGGAGAAAUUGAGAAGAUCAUAUUGUUCGAGGAGUGGGCAAACCCUGUGUUUCUUGGCCAGUUCCUUCUAUCUUGCUUCAUGGGUUUUGUCCUCAACUAUUCCAUCAUACUGUGUACUGCAUACAACUCAGCUCUCACUACCACAGUUGUUGGUGUUUUAAAGAAUACAACAGUGACAUAUGUUGGCAUGUUUAUUGGAGGAGAUUACAUAUUUAGCUUAUCAAAUUUUGCUGGAAUGAAUAUUAGUAUAAUGGGCAGUUUGCUGUACUCGUAUGUGACCUUUGGACAGAAGCCUCCCAAACCCAGCAAUCAGAACACAACUGACCAGAAGCCACAAAUUCAACAUGUUUGAUAUAGGGCUAAGACACCACAAUCUCAGCAAAUAGUUCUAUCCAGAGGAGACUCAGUUUGAUAUACACAGUACUGUAGGGCAGCGAGUAUGCUUCUGUGUGUUUGUUGAAAUCCAUCGAAAUAUCCAUCUCACCAUUGUAAGUAUCAUGAUGAUUAUUAAUGGCAAAAAAAGACAAACGAUGUGGGUCCUGUUCAUGACAUCCAUGUCCGGCUGACUCGGAAGCAGAGACUUGCAACUGUGGUGUGUCAAGGGAAUUUUGGUUUGCUUUUCUGGGCCAUUUAUAUAAGUAUUAAGGCUGUUACAGUUCACUUGCAUAUUUAAUGAAUCGUAACCAUAUACCAUAUCAUGAAUUCAAUUCAUUAUUUAUGACCACUUGAAUCGAAGAUUCAUGAAUUUUUUUAAAAGAGUUUUUUUACAUUAGUUUUGGUGUUAUGUAUUAAAACAAUUUAAAACAAAAUUUUCAAAAUGGAAUAUAUGCAUGCAGUGUGGUUAGUUUGACAGUAAUGUGAUCAGGUCAUUGCUGUGAUGAACUAACACUGUCAGCAUGGUAAAAACAUUUGAAAUCAAUAUUUUGUUAUUAUUUCACAGAAUACACUGACUGAAAUGUCAACUGCUGAACUGUUAUCAUAUUCAUUAUCCAAUAUUCGUGAUAUUUAUUGUCUUCGCCUCAUGGUGGAUUCGUACCAUCCCUAAACCAUACACUCACAGACAAAUGUAACUGUGAUAAAUUGAAUUUAAUGAAGAAUGAAAACUAGUAAUAAUUAUGACAAUAUGUAUGUCCAAAAUGAUGGCUUAUUCUUCUUACUAUACACCAUAACUAACAGUAUUGGAGUUGCAGGAGAACGUCAUGGGAUUAUACAUAGUAUGGGAGUUGUACUCAUAUUAGUAGUUGUCACUGAUAAUUGGUACAGUAUGGGAGUUGCAAUCAUUUUAGCACUAAGAUUAAGAAUGUUAUAGCUUGAUUAUAUAGCAUAAGAGGUGCACUCAUCUUAGGAGUAAUAAUGUCGUGGGACUAUUACACAGUAUGGGAGUCGUACUCAUAUUAUCGUGAACUGUCAUUCAUUGUUUGUACAUUAUGGAGGUUACAAUCAUCUUAGUACUUAGACAUUUGUGGGUCUGUUAUAUAGUAUUGGAGUUUCAGCCAUCUAAGCAGUAAGAAUGUCAUCAGAUUAUUACACAGUAUGGGAGUCGUGCUAAUAUUAGCGUGAGCUGUCAUUGAUUGUUUAUACAUUAUAGAGGUUACAAUCAUCUUAGUACUAAGACAUUUGUGGGUCUAUUAUAUAGUAUUGGAGUUUCAGCCAUCUUAGCGGUAAGAAUGUCAUCAGAUUAUUACACAGUAUGGGAGUCGUACUCAUAUUAUCGUGAACUGUCAUUCAUUGUUUGUACAUUAUGGAGGUUACUAUCAUCUUAGUACUAAGACAUUUGUGGGUCUAUUAUAUAGUAUUGGAGUUUCAGCCAUCUUAGCGGUAAGAAUGUCAUCAGAUUAUUACACAGUAUGGGAGUCGUACUCAUAUUAGCGCGAACUGUCAAUGGUCUGUUGUGUUUCAAUCAAAAAGACUGCCGUGGGUCUGUUAUACAGCACUGGAGCUACGAUUAUCUUAAGACUGAGAUUACCUUGUAGAACAGGUCCCAAUACACUUUUAAGAGGAGUUGUUUCUAAAAGGUCAUUCUAUUGUAAUAACCUAAUCAUCACUUUUGUUAUGGUUGUACUUGUUGUGAAGAGGAGUUACAACGUUGCACAUCCCAGAGAAACGUACAAAAUGAAUACCCUUUUGUGAUCUUAGAGUUUUGUAAUGUAUUGUAGGUUAUAUUAAUAAUAAUAAGAGUAUUUGUAUAGCACUGACUUCCACCACACAUUUGCAAUGCUCAAAGCGCUGACAAGUCACAGUUCAUUAUUACUCCAGAUAACCCAAGCUGCCUGUGAAGGCUAGAAGGUUAUAGUCACAUGACUU